CCUACGGGUGGCAGCAGUGGGGAAUAUUGGACAAUGGGCGAAAGCCUGAUCCAGCCAUGCCGCGUGUGUGAAGAAGGCCUUCGGGUUGUAAAGCACUUUCAGUGGGGAAGAAAGCCUUGGGGCUAAUACCCUCGAGGAAGGACAUCACCCACAGAAGAAGCACCGGCUAACUCCGUGCCAGCAGCCGCGGUAAUACGGAGGGUGCGAGCGUUAAUCGGAAUUACUGGGCGUAAAGCGCGCGUAGGCGGUCUGAUAAGCCGGUUGUGAAAGCCCCAGGCUCAACCUGGGAACGGCAUCCGGAACUGUCAGGCUAGAGUGCAGGAGAGGAAGGUAGAAUUCCCGGUGUAGCGGUGAAAUGCGUAGAGAUCGGGAGGAAUACCAGUGGCGAAGGCGGCCUUCUGGACUGACACUGACGCUGAGGUGCGAAAGCGUGGGUAGCAAACAGGAUUAGAUACCCUAGUAGUC
rnacentral:rRNA from 1 species